AAAUAAACAGCCGACAGUCUACGCUGAAUUUAAAUCAAUGCUGUUAUUCUAGGAGAUGUAAUACCUUCCCUUCUAAAGAAAGACAAUAAUCUGAAUAUCUAACCUGCUGGUGGACUGCUGAGAGAUGACAUGACCUGGGUGUAUCGGUGACUCAGUCUGAGCCUGGUGGAUGCUCUGGACCAUAGCGGUCACUUCUCGCUUUAGCUGGACAACAGACGUGUCACAGACAUUACAGAGGCCCUGCUGAAACUGCUUACAUUUGUCUGGGAUUAGCAACUGCUCUCGUAUUCUCUCAACAGGAAAAUUCUGGAAAAGAAGAAAAAGGAAAAAAUAUAUUUUGAUGUACAUGAUGACGAUGUUACACUGUAAUUUACAGUCAAACCUGAAUAUCUGCAAAACAAUUAUCUCCUAAUCAGAGUUAAAUGUGAAGGCUUGAAUUAGUUCAGUAUUAAGUUAGUAGUAUUAUAAAAAAUGAUGAAAAACUUGA